CAGUCUAGGACAGAAGACAAAAUAGAACGAUUCAAGAAAGCAGUUGAGUACUAUUCAGUCACAACCAAACUCUCUUCACUGCCAGUGGGUCCUUCCUUUCUAGGCUUUCGAAAUAAUCGGCUUGGAAAUCCUCCCCUUCCACGGAAUCAAAUGGGCCCUAUUUCUCCUGGAAAGCCAAUGUUUUCUCGCCAGAUGCCCCAGAAAAUGAAAUAUCCACCACCAUUUCCAAUGGGACCCAACUCAUCUCUUCUCUUCUCCCAUAGUGUGGGAGAAUCCCAUGCUUUCUCUGAGGAUGCCAUGCUACAGGACAGUUCCUUUGCCAAUUGGGCUGUUUCUUAUGACUCUAAUACAUCCCAGUUUCCUAACUGCCUGACUUCCAAAACUUCACCUCCUUUGGGACCAGAUUCUUCCCAUUCCUCUUCCUCUGAUGGUGACGAGGCAAAUGGAGCUGGUUCUGAACAAGUCACAGAAGCAGUUCAACAACAGCCUGGAUGGGAAGAUCCCAGUGGUGACAGAGGAGCUUGGGUACAGCCUGUUGAUGCUGGAGCUUCAGAAACAAACGCAACUGAAAGUGAACCUCACAUCCCAUC
rnacentral:lncRNA from 1 species